rnacentral:rRNA from 1 species
AACGAACGCUGGCGGCAUGCCUAACACAUGCAAGUCGAACGAGACCUUCGGGUCUAGUGGCGCACGGGUGCGUAACGCGUGGGAACCUGCCCUUAGGUUCGGAAUAACUCCCCGAAAGGGGUGCUAAUACCGGAUAAUGUCUUCGGACCAAAGAUUUAUCGCCUUUGGAUGGGCCCGCGUUGGAUUAGCUAGUUGGUAGGGUAAAAGCCUACCAAGGCGACGAUCCAUAGCUGGUCUGAGAGGAUGAUCAGCCACACUGGGACUGAGACACGGCCCAGACUCCUACGGGAGGCAGCAGUAGAGAAUAUUGGACGAGGGGCGAAAGCCUGAUCCAGCAAUGCCGCGUGAGUGAUGAAGGCCUUAGGGUUGUAAAGCUCUUUUACCCGGGAUGAUAAUGACAGUACCGGGAGAAUAAGCUCCGGCUAACUACGUG